rnacentral:rRNA from 1 species
GAUGAACGCUGGCGGCGUGCCUAAUACAUGCAAGUCGAGCGAACAGACGAGGAGCUUGCUCCUCUGACGUUAGCGGCGGACGGGUGAGUAACACGUGGAUAACCUACCUAUAAGACUGGGAUAACUUCGGGAAACCGGAGCUAAUACCGGAUAAUAUAUUGAACCGCAUGGUUCAAUAGUGAAAGACGGUUUUGCUGUCACUUAUAGAUGGAUCCGCGCCGCAUUAGCUAGUUGGUAAGGUAACGGCUUACCAAGGCGACGAUGCGUAGCCGACCUGAGAGGGUGAUAGGCCACACGGGAACUGAGACACGGUCCAGACUCCUACGGGAGGCAGCAGUAGGGAAUCUUCCGCAAUGGGCGAAAGCCUGACGGAGCAACGCAGCGUGAGUGAUGAAGGUCUUCGGAUCGUAAAACUCUGUUAUUAGGGAAGAACAAAUGUGUAAGUAACUAUGCACGUCUUGACGGUACCUAAUCAGAAAGCCACGGCUAACUACGUG